GGGUGGUAAUGCCGGAUGUUCCACAUGAUCGCAUGUGAUUGUGGGAAAGAUUUCAUCGGCGUGGGAUGGGGUCGCGUCCUAUCAGCUUGUUGGUGAGGUAACGGCUCACCAAGGCUUCGACGGGUAGCCGGCCUGAGAGGGCGACCGGCCACAUUGGGACUGAGAUACGGCCCAGACUCCUACGGGAGGCAGCAGUGGGGAAUAUUGCACAAUGGGCGCAAGCCUGAUGCAGCGACGCCGCGUGAGGGAUGGAGGCCUUCGGGUUGUAAACCUCUUUUGUUUGGGAGCAAGCCUUCGGGUGAGUGUACCUUUCGAAUAAGCGCCGGCUAACUACGUGCCAGCAGCCGCGGUAAUACGUAGGGCGCAAGCGUUAUCCGGAUUUAUUGGGCGUAAAGGGCUCGUAGGCGGCUCGUCGCGUCCGGUGUGAAAGUCCAUCGCUUAACGGUGGAUCUGCGCCGGGUACGGGCGGGCUGGAGUGCGGUAGGGGAGACUGGAAUUCCCGGUGUAACGGUGGAAUGUGUAGAUAU
rnacentral:rRNA from 1 species